UUUAGAGAAAAAGUGAAAUAAA
rnacentral:snRNA from 1 species